rnacentral:lncRNA from 1 species
ACAAAGUCAUAGAAAUAAAAGCACUAGAGAAAGAAAAGACUGUCAUAUGGCCUAAUGGAUAUUUAAUGGUAAUUACAGAGGAUCAAACUUCACCUACAACAUGACUCUCACUCCUUCCUGGUGGAAAUCUUGAGUAGACUAAGCUGCCGUGAUGCAUCCCUAUUCUUUCUGCCUGGAUUUCCAGCCAACACCGAGCAUUUAGGAAUUGACGAGUUAUGAGUUCAAGCAAAAAUGUAUUAAUAACAUGGUAGCCAGCUAUGAUGGAGCCCAUCUGUAAUCCCAGCAUUCUGGAGGCUGAGCACUACUCACAAUGGCAAAGAUAUAGAAGUAACUUAAGUGUGCACUGACGCAUGCACAGAUAAAGGAAAGUUGGCGCACGUACACAACAGAAUAUUAUUCUGCAGUACAAAGAAG